rnacentral:rRNA from 1 species
UACGGAGGGUGCAAGCGUUAUCCGGAUUUACUGGGCUUAAAGGGCGCGUAGGCGGGCAGGUAAGUCAGUGGUGAAAUCUCCGGGCUUAACCCGGAAACUGCCAUUGAUACUAUUUGUCUUGAAUACUGUGGAGGUCAGCGGAAUAUGUCAUGUAGCGGUGAAAUGCUUAGAUAUGACAUAGAACACCAAUUGCGAAGGCAGCUGGCUACACAAAUAUUGACACUGAGGCACGAAAGCGUGGGGAUCAAACAGG